UAAUUGAAGAGUUUGAUCAUGGCUCAGAUUGAACGCUGGCGGCAGGCUUAACACAUGCAAGUCGAGCGGUAGCACAGGGGAGCUUGCUCCCUGGGUGACGAGCGGCGGACGGGUGAGUAAUGUCUGGGAAACUGCCUGAUGGAGGGGGAUAACUACUGGAAACGGUAGCUAAUACCGCAUAACGUCGCAAGACCAAAGAGGGGGACCUUCGGGCCUCUUGCCAUCAGAUGUGCCCAGAUGGGAUUAGCUAGUAGGUGGGGUAAUGGCUCACCUAGGCGACGAUCCCUAGCUGGUCU
rnacentral:rRNA from 1 species